rnacentral:rRNA from 1 species
CCUACGGGGGGCAGCAGUGGGGAAUAUUGGACAAUGGGGGCAACCCUGAUCCAGCCAUGCCGCGUGUGUGAAGAAGGCCCUCGGGUUGUAAAGCACUUUCAGUGAGGAAGAACGCCUGGUGGUUAAUACCCAUCAGGAAAGACAUCACUCACAGAAGAAGCACCGGCUAACUCCGUGCCAGCAACCGCGGUAAUACGGAGGGUGCGAGCGUUAAUCGGAAUUACUGGGCGUAAAGCGCGCGUAGGUGGCUUGAUAAGCCGGUUGUGAAAGCCCCGGGCUCAACCUGGGAACGGCAUCUGGAACUGUCAAGCUAGAGUGCAGGAGAGGAAGGUAGAAUUCCCGGUGUAGCGGUGAAAUGCGUAGAGAUCGGGAGGAAUACCAGUGGCGAAGGCGGCCUUCUGGACUGACACUGACACUGAGGUGCGAAAGCGUGGGUAGCAAACAGGAUUAGAUACCCGAGUAGUC